rnacentral:rRNA from 1 species
ACUUAAAUUGAAGAGUUUGAUCAUGGCUCAGAUUGAACGCUGGCGGCAGGCCUAACACAUGCAAGUCGAGCGGUAGCACAGAGAGCUUGCUCUCGGGUGACGAGCGGCGGACGGGUGAGUAAUGUCUGGGAAACUGCCUGAUGGAGGGGGAUAACUACUGGAAACGGUAGCUAAUACCGCAUAAUGUCGCAAGACCAAAGUGGGGGACCUUCGGGCCUCAUGCCAUCAGAUGUGCCCAGAUGGGAUUAGCUAGUAGGUGGGGUAACGGCUCACCUAGGCGACGAUCCCUAGCUGGUCUGAGAGGAUGACCAGCCACACUGGAACUGAGACACGGUCCAGACUCCUACGGGAGGCAGCAGUGGGGAAUAUUGCACAAUGGGCGCAAGCCUGAUGCAGCCAUGCCGCGUGUGUGAAGAAGGCCUUCGGGUUGUAAAGCACUUUCAGCGGGGAGGAAGGCGUUAAGGUUAAUAACCUUGGCGAUUGACGUUACCCGCAGAAGAAGCACCGGCUAACUCCGUGCCAGCAG